rnacentral:rRNA from 1 species
UUGCACGCUGGCGGCAUGCUUUACCCAUGCAAGUCGAACGGCAGCGCGGGCUUCGGCCUGGCGGCGAGUGGCGAACGGGUGAGUAAUACAUCGGAACGUGCCCAGUAGUGGGGGAUAGCUCGGCGAAAGCCGGAUUAAUACCGCAUACGACCUGAGGGUGAAAGCGGGGGAUCUUCGGACCUCGCGCUAUUGGAGCGGCCGAUGGCAGAUUAGCUAGUUGGUGGGGUAAAGGCCUACCAAGGCGACGAUCUGUAGCUGGUCUGAGAGGACGACCAGCCACACUGGGACUGAGACACGGCCCAGACUCCUACGGGAGGCAGCAGUGGGGAAUUUUGGACAAUGGGCGAAAGCCUGAUCCAGCAAUGCCGCGUGUGUGAUGAAGGCCUUCGGGUUGUAAAGCACUUUUGGCGGGAACGAAAAGGACUGUGCCAAUACCACGGUUCGAUGACGGUACCCGCAGAAUAAGCACCGGCUAACUACGUG